CACCAAACUAACAAAACUAGCCUUAAUUAAAACAGUCUUCUUUUUUACUCGUUACCCUUGUGGAUGCUCCAGAAAAUUCCAGAAAUGCUGUCAUUAAUUGGGCAUCAAAAACAUAAAAAGUUUUCUGGGGGAGGACUCCAGACCCUCGUAUUUUCCUCACAAAUCACUUACGUGCUGGGGUAAUGGAAAAUAAGAUAAAAUUGGGGCGAGCGAAGCUCCCCAAAAGAGAUUAGAAUGGGAGAACCUAAUAUUCUUUGCUACCUCAAAUGCAAAUUUAAGGUUGUUAUAUAUUGAAUAACCAUGACCCCCAGUUACAUGUUUUCAGAAGUUAAGAGCCUCUAGAUUCAAAUGGUUUUGGGGAACACCCCCUAGCUCCCGCACCCAAAAUCGAGUUUGUCUGGCCUUUCUCCAAUUCUCCCACCCAACCACACCAUUAUAUUCAGGUAAAA